rnacentral:misc_RNA from 1 species
UUAACUUCAUAUACACGUGAAGUAAAAGUGGAAAAAAUGACAGAAGCUUGAAUUUUUUCUUGAUUUUCAAUAAGAUGGCAAUAAAUGCAAAACUUAAAGAGGCUGGCUGGUACUUGACUCCCAAUGGCAUUGAGGAAUGCAGACCAGAUUCAGAUAGUGUGAAUGUCAACAAGAUCAUAGAGAUAGCAAAAGAUACUGAUUUAAAGGACAUAGGAGACAAAUGGUUGCCUGACGAUGUCAACAAAGGAAAAUGUGAAUAUGUCCAAGGUCCUGGGGUCCUUCAGAUUCAGAAGAUUCGCAAUGUAACAGCUCCAAAAGACAACGAGGAGUCCAAUUAUGCCCCGCGCAUGUUGAAGCUAGUUUUGACUGAUGGUCAGCUAACCUGCAAUGCCUUAGAAAUGGAAAAGUUGGAACGGAUCGGCCUUGACACAUGUCCUGGAAGCAAAAUAUAUUUGAAAGGGAAAGUGGAAGUAGAGCAUGGAUUCCUUAAGCUGUACAACAGAAAUGUGAACUUUGUAGGGGGGAGAGUGGACAAAAUUGCUGAUAACUGGGAAUUGAGAAAGAAAUUGUCACGGCAAGUGCGAUUGUUCAUUGGUUCUGAGGGAGGACCUCCAGCUUUCACUCCAUUCGGGCAGAAGACAAAGGAUAAAAAGCCCCCUGCUAUAAAAAAGGAGACCCAAAACUUCAAGUCAUUGGAAACUCAACAAAAAGAAAAGAAAGCAGAGGAUGAUGAAUUUGAACAACAGAGAAAGGCAAUCAUUGCUGAAGCUCUUCAAGCUAAAGAAGAGGGAAAAUCUCUUAACUUUGGAGGACAGAAACAGGUUGGCCAGGAUAAAGACAUUGCCAGAAUAGUAGAAAUGGGGUUUUCUGCUUCUCAAGCUAGCAGUGCAUUACAACAGAGCAAUGGAGAUGUCAAUCAAGCAAUAAAUGCAUUGCUGAGCAAUGAUGGAGACCUAAGGAGGGAGCAAGGGGGAAAUGUAAGGGGGCGAGAUAUCCCAACCCGGGACAACAGGAGAGAAAGAGGCGGAAGAGGUCAAAGAGGCAGAGAUAAUGGAGAGGAGGAGGAUGCAGCAAAACAGAGGCCUUCAGGACCGGCAACUCUUUUUGAUUUCUUAGAAACCAAAAUCAAACCUGAAAAAGACUCAAAAGAGAAAUCGAGGAAUAAUCCACCAUUACAAAGUUAUGAUUAUGCAAGUAAUAGAUCUGGUGAUAGCAGGACUUACGAUAACAGAAGAGAACCUCCCAACAAAUAUCAGGAUCGACCUCCAAGAAACGAAAGAAGUGACAAUAGGUAUAAUGACAGGAGGUCAGACUAUAAACAGAACGACCAACCGGAGAGGAAUUACAACAGGCAAAAAUAUGAUUCAGAAAGGACUAACAGAAACAACGACAGAGGGAGGUACUCUAAUGAGAAUAAAAGGGAGCAGGAAUCUUAUGCUGAGAAAUCUGACAGGUACGAGGCAGACAAGAGGAAAGACAGAGGACAACAAAGGGCUCAAGGAGACAGAAGAGGAAACAGUGAAAGAGGGGGAUAUAAUGAAAGAGGAGGAUAUAAUGAAAAAGGAUAUAAUGAAAGAGGAUACAAUGACAGAGGAUACAAUGACAGAGGAUACAAUGAAAGAGGAUACAAUGACAGAGGAUACAAUGACAGAGGAUACAAUGAAAGAGGAUACAAUGAAAGAGGAGGGAGAGAGAACAAGACUCCAAGGGGAGAUAACUCAGACCUAUCAAAUAGUGCUGGAAACAGGCCAAAAACUGGGUAUCAAGACAGGAGGACGGGAAACCAACAGGACUACCAACAAAACAGACCCAAGUCAGAAACGUCUGGGCGUGAUGCAAGGCAGAAAUCGUCGUAUGGUAAUCGGAAUUCUUCACAGAAUCAGCCUCCAGCCCAGGAGGACUUUGACUCCGGAAAUCAGUUUAACAGCAACCAGUUUUUUCAAUCUGCACAAUCAGUGCCCCAGUUUAACCCUGAUGUUCCGCCUCCCCCACUUCUACAGCAAUACAACAACUUUGUGCCAAAUCAAGGGGUAGAUCUCUCAUUGUUAAUUUUAUGUCUUGUGUACGUUGGCUGUGAGAGAAGUACUUUAACAAUAACAAUAAACAUACUUAAUUUAUCCGGUAAUUACUGUAGAUUUCUAAUUAAACGCGAGGAAUUAAUAUCUGGGUAAAAUCGCACGUCUCACAAAUUUUAAAAUCUCACAUUUAUUUUUCGGACAUAUACAUGUAUAAACUACAUGAAACUAUGAUAAAAAUUUGGCAUUUGCAAUUUUAUUUUCUUGCAAUUUGAUAGAAAACAAUUGAAUCGCAGAAUUGAGUAUUCAUAUAAAAUAAGGAAUCUACAGUAGUGUUACAGCGCUUCUCACACUUCUAAUUCUGCCAAUUUAAGUGAAUUGUAAUAAGAGUAUUUAUGAUCCAGAUGUGCUAAAUUAUUAUUUAUCUAAUCAGUUGUUGAGGAGCAUUGUCCUAAAUUUUGGACUAUUGCAAUAACUUGUGUAGUGUUCUUGCUUACUCUAUGCAAAAAUUGUAACAGGGUUAACUAAUAGUAAUUCUUAACUGUCAUGUAUUUAUUAGAUAGCAUUUACAUUGUUUUAAUUUAAUAUGUUAAUUUCAUGACUUAUUUGCUUGAAAAGAUAACUUCAUAUUUGAGUAGGAACAUGAUAUCCAUCUUCAGUGCUAGAACAUUUACCGGUACUUUAAGUUAUAUAUAUGACAAAUCUAGUCUGCAUGAUUCUCAUUCUUUUCAGGCUUAUAAUGCAACAUGGAAAAGGGGAGACCGAUGUAUGGCCAAGUACUGGGAAGACAACAAGUUCUAUUCUGCUGUUGUGGAAAACAUUGAUCCCCGCUAUCCCACUGUGGUUGUGCACUUCUUAGAGUACGGCAAUUCAGAGGAGGUCAGUCUGAGCGAUGUUCGUCCGGAUCCACAGUUCAUGGGAUCAAUGGGCAAUCAGGGAUCCUCUUCACUACCUCAACAAAAGUAUCCCCCCAGGUCAGGGGAGGAUUCCAAAGUCCGAUCCAUGGAAUUCCGACGCCAGCGGUCGGAUCAGGGCGACAAGCAGCAGAAGUUAUACCAGCCUCCGAACCAUAAGCCAAUGUACUGAAGAAUUCUAUGUAAUAUGAUUAAUUUCUGUACAAUGAAAUGGUAUUUGUUAAGAACCAGAGCAGACUGAAUUGUGUCAAUUUUUUUGUAUAGAUUAACAAUAGCUGUGAGAAAAAUAUUACCUUUUGUAUGUGCAAUUUUAAAAAAUGUUACUUGUACAAAACUAUGUUUGACAUGGUAAAACCACCUGAGGAAUUUAAUAAACCCUUUUCAAAUACUGAC